rnacentral:lncRNA from 1 species
AUGUGGAACUUGGUUUGACUUCAUUUAAAUGCUUCUAACGUAGUUGAACAUAGCGGAUGAUAGAACCAAAUUGGACAUGUGUGAUCGGACCCUCAAGUUGUGUGAAUGUGAGGUUGGACUUGGACAAUAGAAAACAAUGGUGACAUUGACAUAGAAACAAGAUUGGCAUUGAGAGAUGAACCGUUAAACAUAGUUUAACCAAUUAUGACA